rnacentral:lncRNA from 1 species
CAUCACCAUCCAUCCAAGGCUCAUCCCCAAACCCAGUUACCCGCUCCCCCGGCCGAGCCUCAACACCAGAUCCACGUUCCCGGCCAGCCGGCCAAGCCUCAGCAUCAGAUCCACUUCCCCGGCCAGCCGGCCGAGCCUCAGCACCAGAUCAUCGUUCCCGGCCACCCGGCCAAGCCUCAGCACCAGAUUCAGUUUCCCGGCCACCCGUCCGAGCCUCAGCAACGGAUUCAGUUUCCCGGCCACCCGUCCGAGCCUCAGCCCCGGACCCACUUUCCUGCCCAUCUGUCCAAGCCCCAUCCCCAGCCCCACUUAUCCGGCCCCCAGCCCAAGCCCCACUUUCCCGGCCACCCGUCCAAGCCCCAUCCCCAUCCUCAUUUAUCCAGCCACAAAGAUUUGGCUUAAAGGAAGAUUUGGCUACAACUUGUGGAUAUCCUUGGAGUUCCAACUGAUUGGCCUUGAUUACUUCAAGCUUGUACCCUGACAGUCUUUGGAGAAAUAAAAUGCAUUUUAUACUAAUUUAG